rnacentral:rRNA from 1 species
AUUGAACGCUGGCGGCAGGCCUAACACAUGCAAGUCGAGCGAGGGGCGGACGGGGGAGUAAGGGCUGGGAAACUGCCGGAUGGCGGGGGAUAACUACUGGAAACGGUAGCGAAUACCGCAUACCAUGAGCUGUGCCGAGAUGGGAUUUGCUAGUAGGUGGGGUAACGGCUCACCUAGGCGACGAUCCCUAGCCGGUCGGAGAGUAUGACCGGCCACACGGGAACUGAGACACGGCCCAGACUCCAACGGUAGGCAGCAGUGGGGAAUAUUGCACAAUGGGCAGAUGCCUGAUGCAGCCAUGCCGCGUGUGUGAAGAAGGUUUUCGGGUUGUAAAGCACUUUCAGCGGGGAGGCGUUACCUGCAGAAGAAGCACCGGCUAACUCCGUGCCAGCAGCCGCGGUAAUUC